AGAGUUUGAUCAUGGCUCAGGAUGAACGCUAGCUACAGGCUUAACACAUGCAAGUCGAGGGGAAACGACAUCGAAAGCUUGCUUUUGAUGGGCGUCGACCGGCGCACGGGUGAGUAACGCGUAUCCAACCUGCCCACCACUUGGGGAUAACCUUGCGAAAGUAAGACUAAUACCCAAUGACGUCUCUAGAAGACAUCUGAAAGAGAUUAAAGAUUUAUCGGUGAUGGAUGGGGAUGCGUCUGAUUAGCUUGGUUGGCGGGGUAACGGCCCGCCAAGGCUACGAUCAGUAGGGGUUCUGAGGAGGAAGGUCCCCCACAUUGGAACUGAGACACGGUCCAAACUCCUACGGAGGCA
rnacentral:rRNA from 1 species